rnacentral:tRNA from 1 species
CGUGGCCUAGUGGUAUCACGUCUGGCCGCAGUGCCAGAGACAGUGGGUUCAAUUC